ensembl:snoRNA
AUGCAUCCAUUUGACAGAUCUGGCCCAGGUACAGAUGCAAGAAAAAAGUGUCUUUGCACUUCCUGUCUGUCUGAUUGUGGCAGCCAAGAUUGAAUGGGGGAAUACAGGA